UCAUAAAAGAUGCAACUCGUAAAAUUCUAAAAUGCUUUGUGUUUUAGGCAUAUAAAAAGAGACAACUGGCUGGACCAACCUGAAUAUACACUUUCUUUGCAUUAUUUGAUGAAAUGAUGUCACUUCCUGGGGG
rnacentral:lncRNA from 1 species